AAUUAAGAAUACACGGAAAGAAAAUUCUUCCAAGCAUGGAUGAAAUUCUAAGAACAUUUAAAAUCGGCCAUCAUAAAAAUCAACAACAACAAAACCCAACUUACAUAACUGUGUAACUACAUGUAUUACUAAUAUUGAAUCAUAUAACCCCGUCUUUUACUUUCCUUUUAUAUUUUAAUUAUAUAAGAAAUAGCCUGAUCAUCUAUUUACCAUGAAAUUUAUUACAUAUAAAGAUAAAGUGUUCCGUUUUUAUGAUUAGAAAACAUUUUUAUCUUCCUCAGUAUUUGCUUAUAUUAUUAAUAUGUUAUGUAUUCAUAUAUCAAAAUAAUGAUCUUACCUUUCCCUAUUCGACAAGUUCUGUUUUCAUUUUCUGUGACUCAACUCACAAGUACAUUACCUAAUGAAACCCCGCGAAAAUCACGAGAAUAUUCAAAUAACACCUGAUUUGUGAACGAAUGAAUUACAGGAGCGUAGCGGAUGGUAUCUUUGCUUGGCUUUGGAAUGCUUUCUUAAACAUGAUAAAGUACAUAAAUAAUAUGUUACUUGUGAGUAAUAUAUUAAUAAAUACUGAGUUAAAAACUGAUGUAUGGAUAGAAAAACAAAAGAGCAUGUAGGUAAGAUAGUUACCGCACUCGGAAUAGGUCUGCCUAGUAUUUACAGACCCGGUGGCCUUUUAAAAACCUCGAUCGCUACGCUCUCUUGGUCUUCAAAUCGCCACCCGGGUCUGUAAAUACUAGGCAGACCUAUUCCUCGUACGGUUACUAUUACUUGAAGAAUUUCAAAACUGUUCUGUACAAUUAAAAAAUGCGUGACCGAUAAAAAGUUGACACUCAAUUAAAUCACGGAUUUAUAUUACAUAAAUCCGUGAUUAAAUCUACCCCGCUGGUGUUAAUUGGGACUUCUGCAGUCUUUAUCGAUUUUUACACCUUAUAUAAACAAUAAAUAAAUAAAAAUAAAUAAACAAUAAAAAAAUAAUCGCCAGAUUUUGUAGCCAAAAUGCAAAAAUAAUCGCCAAUAUUAUAAAAUAAUCGCAAAUGGCGACUAUGGCGAUUGUCAGCGUGAGCCCUGUUUUAUGAUAAAAUAUGUAGAACCUAUCAUAUGAUAAGUAAAUGACUUAUCUAGAUUUCUGUAUACCAGGUCUGGAUGCACAAAUAUGCCUGUCUAAUGAACAGAUUAGUUUCACCUAGGGGUGUAACAAUACGGCAAAAACCGUAUUGCAAUAUAUUGUCAUUUUCCAGCCUAUCAACUUGAUAAAUUACAACGUGUGCAGAAUUAUGCUGCUAGAAUUGUCACUGGAGCUGCUUACUAUCAAUCCAGUGCUGAAAUUCAUAAAUCACUCCACUGGCUUCCAAUUCGAGCAAGAAUCAUGUACAAAGUUAUUGUGUUGCAAAUGGCACCGCUCCAUUGUAUCUUCGUGAAUUGUUCACUAAAUGCCAGAGUCAGUACAGGAAAAGACUGAGAUCCUCAUCAUCUAGCAACAUUCGGUUUGAUAUACCAACUUGCUGAUAGAUUUUUUGGCUACUGUGGGACCUAAAUGGUGGAAUUCAUUGCCAGACUAUCUGAAGGCCGGACAUUACCAAUGAAAAUCAGUUUAAGGCCAAACUUAAAACAUACUUGUUUGGACUGUUUUUCAACUAGAGUUGUAGAUUGUCUGUGCCAUCGAGACUGGGUUUGGGAGUGCCUAGAUCAAGCAUAUGUGUAUAUGAUCUUAAUACUGUACAGCGCAAUCGAAUAUUUAAUACAUUUUUGCGCUAUAUAAAUGUCUUGUAUUUGUAUUUUGCCAAAGUGUAUUGCAAUACGUAUUGUCGUGUAUAUGUUUUGAUGUAAAGAUGGAGUAACAUUAGAUAUUAUUAUUAUUAAAUGUAUAUAUUCUUAGUAGAAACUUGAUAAAAAUGUAAGGAAUAAAUAGAAAGUACAUUGUAAGAGUCACACAAUUUGAUGGAAAUAAAACUAGUCGUGCGGGACCUUUCACACCUGGUCCGCUUAAUAUGUAAAUUAUGUGGCCGUUAUUGACUUUUAAGUGUACUAGUUGUUGCGUAUUUUUAUCUUACGUUGACACCAAUAAAACUCACCAAUAAAAGAUUUUAUGCGAAAUUUGUAUGAAAUUAGAAGGCGAUUAUUAAAAUUAUGAUUUUUAUGAAAUACCGGUUUUCCAAAAAUCGUACCGCGGUACGAAAUUUAUUUUUUCAUAUUGCAAUAAAUCGGUAUACAGGUAAACCGUUACACCCUUAUUCAUAACUAAGAUCUAUUAAAUAUCGCCAUUUUAUUUUGCAGAGAUUGCCCUUGUGGAAGUAUUUGCAUUGACGGUGCAUGCGCAGAGGGUUGCAUGUUGUACGACACAUUUAUGCCGGCUGGUUCCGAGUCAGAAGUUUACGGCAGAAAAUGUCAUUGUGGUGAAACUCCCGACGAGAAAGGAAUGUUGCUAGAGUGUGCUGAAAAUGUGGAAUUUGUAGGCGCUCCCGAAGGGGUUUUUGAAUGGGAGAACAACCUAGCUUGUGAAGUGACCGCCGAGGAAGCCCCAGCUGAUGCAGCCACCGAAGCACCCGCCGUUUGAAUCAUGUUGACAUUCAUUAAACAUCAAGUUCACGACCGAAUGUCAUGUCGAGUUUCAUUUGCAUCAAAUAAUUAUUAUGAAAUAAAUGAUGUUUACUUUUAUGUAAAAAAAAUGAGUUGUUUUAUUUUAAAGAUUUUUUCUGACCUUAAAAAUUAACACAAUUUCUGAAUUUUGUUAACAAUUGCUGAAAAGGGUAUAGUUUUCCUUUGUGAAUCUGUUAUGAACCACGGCCCUCACUUCAAGCAUGGAAGGUGAACUCUGGAAAUGCGAUAUGGGUCGUCGUUCAAAAAUGCUUCAUUUUCUUUUUUUUUUCUGUUAUCCCUUUGGCAUUGAAAUACAAUGAAAUUAUCCUUGAAACUAACAUUUAAUACCCAUAAUAUUACAAAGGUAUAUAAAAUAUAA